rnacentral:rRNA from 1 species
GACGAACGCUGGCGGCGUGCUUAACACAUGCAAGUCGAACGGAAAGGCCCUGCUUUUGUGGGGUGCUCGAGUGGCGAACGGGUGAGUAACACGUGAGUAACCUGCCCUUGACUUUGGGAUAACUUCAGGAAACUGGGGCUAAUACCGGAUAGGAGCUCCUGCUGCAUGGUGGGGGUUGGAAAGUUUCGGCGGUUGGGGAUAGACUCGCGGCUUAUCAGCUUGUUGGUGGGGUAGUGGCUUACCAAGGCUUUGACGGGUAGCCGGCCUGAGAGGGUGACCGGCCACAUUGGGACUGAGAUACGGCCCAGACUCCUACGGGAGGCAGCAGUGGGGAAUAUUGCACAAUGGGAGGAAGCCUGAUGCAGCAACGCCGCGUGCGGGAUGACGGCCUUCGGGUUGUAAACCGCUUUCGCCUGUGACGAAGCGUGAGUGACGGUAAUGGGUAAAGAAGCACCGGCUAACUACGUG